GUGGUAUCCUGUCUGAAUAUGGGGGGCCCAUCCUCCAAGGCUAAAUACUCCUGACUGACCGAUAGUGAACCAGUACCGUGAGGGAAAGGCGAAAAGAACCCCGGCGAGGGGAGUGAAAAAGAACCUGAAACCGUGUACGUACAAGCAGUGGGAGCACGCUUAGGCGUGUGACUGCGUACCUUUUGUAUAAUGGGUCAGCGACUUAUAUUCUGUAGCAAGGUUAACCGAAUAGGGGAGCCGAAGGGAAACCGAGUCUUAACUGGGCGUUAAGUUGCAGGGUAUAGACCCGAAACCCGGUGAUCUAGCCAUGGGCAGGUUGAAGGUUGGGUAACACUAACUGGAGGACCGAACCGACUAAUGUUGAAAAAUUAGCGGAUGACUUGUGGCUGGGGGUGAAAGGCCAAUCAAACCGGGAGAUAGCUGGUUCUCCCCGAAAGCUAUUUAGGUAGCGCCUCGUGAAUUCAUCUCCGGGGGUAGAGCACUGUUUCGGCAAGGGGGUCAUCCCGACUUACCAACCCGAUGCAAACUGCGAAUACCGGAGAAUGUUAUCACGGGAGACACACGGCGGGUGCUAACGUCCGUCGUGAAGAGGGAAACAACCCAGACCGCCAGCUAAGGUCCCAAAGUCAUGGUUAAGUGGGAAACGAUGUGGGAAGGCCCAGACAGCCAGGAUGUUGGCUUAGAAGCAGCCAUCAUUUAAAGAAAGCGUAAUAGCUCACUGGUCGAGUCGGCCUGCGCGGAAGAUGUAACGGGGCUAAACCAUGCACCGAAGCUGCGGCAGCGACGCUUAUGCGUUGUUGGGUAGGGGAGCGUUCUGUAAGCCUGCGAAGGUGUGCUGUGAGGCAUGCUGGAGGUAUCAGAAGUGCGAAUGCUGACAUAAGUAACGAUAAAGCGGGUGAAAAGCCCGCUCGCCGGAAGACCAAGGGUUCCUGUCCAACGUUAAUCGGGGCAGGGUGAGUCGACCCCUAAGGCGAGGCCGAAAGGCGUAGUCGAUGGGAAACAGGUUAAUAUUCCUGUACUUGGUGUUACUGCGAAGGGGGGACGGAGAAGGCUAUGUUGGCCGGGCGACGGUUGUCCCGGUUUAAGCGUGUAGGCUGGUUUUCCAGGCAAAUCCGGAAAAUCAAGGCUGAGGCGUGAUGACGAGGCACUACGGUGCUGAAGCAACAAAUGCCCUGCUUCCAGGAAAAGCCUCUAAGCAUCAGGUAACAUCAAAUCGUACCCCAAACCGACACAGGUGGUCAGGUAGAGAAUACCAAGGCGCUUGAGAGAACUCGGGUGAAGGAACUAGGCAAAAUGGUGCCGUAACUUCGGGAGAAGGCACGCUGAUAUGUAGGUGAAGUCCCUUGCGGAUGGAGCUGAAAUCAGUCGAAGAUACCAGCUGGCUGCAACUGUUUAUUAAAAACACAGCACUGUGCAAACACGAAAGUGGACGUAUACGGUGUGACGCCUGCCCGGUGCCGGAAGGUUAAUUGAUGGGGUCAGCGCAAGCGAAGCUCUUGAUCGAAGCCCCGGUAAACGGCGGCCGUAACUAUAACGGUCCUAAGGUAGCGAAAUUCCUUGUCGGGUAAGUUCCGACCUGCACGAAUGGCGUAAUGAUGGCCAGGCUGUCUCCACCCGAGACUCAGUGAAAUUGAACUCGCUGUGAAGAUGCAGUGUACCCGCGGCAAGACGGAAAGACCCCGUGAACCUUUACUAUAGCUUGACACUGAACAUUGAGCCUUGAUGUGUAGGAUAGGUGGGAGGCUUUGAAGUGUGGACGCCAGUCUGCAUGGAGCCGGCCUUGAAAUACCACCCUUUAAUGUUUGAUGUUCUAACGUGGACCCGUGAUCCGGGUUGCGGACAGUGUCUGGUGGGUAGUUUGACUGGGGCGGUCUCCUCCUAAAGAGUAACGGAGGAGCACGAAGGUUGGCUAAUCCUGGUCGGACAUCAGGAGGUUAGUGCAAUGGCAUAAGCCAGCUUGACUGCGAGCGUGACGGCGCGAGCAGGUGCGAAAGCAGGUCAUAGUGAUCCGGUGGUUCUGAAUGGAAGGGCCAUCGCUCAACGGAUAAAAGGUACUCCGGGGAUAACAGGCUGAUACCGCCCAAGAGUUCAUAUCGACGGCGGUGUUUGGCACCUCGAUGUCGGCUCAUCACAUCCUGGGGCUGAAGUAGGUCCCAAGGGUAUGGCUGUUCGCCAUUUAAAGUGGUACGCGAGCUGGGUUUAGAACGUCGUGAGACAGUUCGGUCCCUAUCUGCCGUGGGCGCUGGAGAACUGAGGGGGGCUGCUCCUAGUACGAGAGGACCGGAGUG
rnacentral:rRNA from 1 species